rnacentral:rRNA from 1 species
GACGAACGCUGGCGGCGUGCCUAAUACAUGCAAGUAGAACGCUGAAGGAGGAGCUUGCUUCUCUGGAUGAGUUGCGAACGGGUGAGUAACGCGUAGGUAACCUGCCUGGUAGCGGGGGAUAACUAUUGGAAACGAUAGCUAAUACCGCAUAAGAGUAGAUGUCGCAUGACAUUUGCUUAAAAGGUGCAAUUGCAUCACUACCAGAUGGACCUGCGUUGUAUUAGCUAGUUGGUGAGGUAACGGCUCACCAAGGCAACGAUACAUAGCCGACCUUAGAGGGUGAUCGGCCACACUGGGACUGAGACACGGCCCAGACUCCUACGGGAGGCAGCAGUAGGGAAUCUUCGGCAAUGGACGGAAGUCUGACCGAGCAACGCCGCGUGAGUGAAGAAGGUUUUCGGAUCGUAAAGCUCUGUUGUAAGAGAAGAACGAGUGUGAGAGUGGAAAGUUCACACUGUGACGGUAUCUUACCAGAAAGGGACGGCUAACUACGUG